rnacentral:rRNA from 1 species
AGAGUUUGAUCCUGGCUAGGACGAACGCUGGCGGCGUGCUUAACACAUGCAAGUCGAACGGGGAUAUACGAGCGGAAGGCUUCGGCCGGAAGGUUGUAUAUUCGAGUGGCGGACGGGUGAGUAACGCGUGAACAAUCUGUCCCAGACAGGGGGAUAACACUUGGAAACAGGUGCUAAUACCGCAUGAGACCACGGGGUCGCAUGGCCUUGGGGUAAAAGGAGUAAUCCGGUUUGGGGUGAGUUCGCGUCCGAUUAGCCAGUUGGUGAGGUAAUGGCCCCACCAAAGCGACGAUCGGUAGCCGAUCUGAGAGGAUGACCGGCCACAUUAGAACUGAGAGACGGUCCAAACUCCUACGGGAGGCAGCAGUGGGGAAUAUUGGGCAAUGGGCGAAAAAGCCUGACCCAGCAACGCCGCGUGAGUGAAGAGGGCCUUCGGGUUGUAAAGCUCUGUUAUAGGGGACGAAGGAAGUGACGGUACCCUAUAAGGAAGCCCCGGCUAACUACGUGCCAGCCGCCGC